rnacentral:rRNA from 1 species
CCCUUAGAUGUCCGGGGCCGCACGCGCGCUACACUGAAGGAAUCAGCGUGGCUCUGUCCCUGGUCCGAAAGGAUUGGGAAACCCGUUGAAUCUCCUUCGUGAUAGGGAUUGGGGCUUGGAACUGUUCCCCAUGAACGAGGAAUUCCCAGUAAGCGCGAGUCAUAAGCUCGCGUUGAUUACGUCCCUGCCCUUUGUACACACCGCCCGUCGCUACUACCGAUUGGAUCAUUUGGUGAGGCCCGCGGACUGUUGUGCUUUCUUCCUCGUGUUGAUUGCACUUCUUGGGAAGCGGUACGAACCUGAUGAUCUAGAGGAAGUAAAAGUCGUAACA